rnacentral:other from 1 species
UUUUCCCUGCCGUGCGCGCCGGGUAAUGCGCCUGUCCUUUCCGCGUGAUACGGGAGUUCAAUAUCUGCGCGGCCUACGGCAUGCCUCCCUCGAGUGGACGUCGGACGGCCGCCGUGAGAACACCCACCUGCUGAGGAUGAGGUUCACGCGCCAACUUUCGGCCCGCACGCGCAGGGUUCUU